AUACGGAGGAUGCGAGCGUUAUCCGGAUUUAUUGGGUUUAAAGGGUGCGUAGGCUGUGCGUUAAGUCAGGGGUGAAAUGCCGUCGCUCAACGACGGAGCUGCCCUUGAUACUGGCGUGCUGGAGUACGGAUGCCGUUGGAGGAAUGAGUGGUGUAGCGGUGAAAUGCUUAGAUAUCACUCAGAACACCGAUUGCGAAGGCAUCUGACGAAUCCGUCACUGACGCUGAGGCACGAAAGCGUGGGGAUAGAACAGGAUUAGAUACCCUGGUAUCCCACGCCGUAAACGAUGAUGACUAACCGUCGGCGAUAGACAGCCGGUGGCCAAGCGAAAGCGAUAAGUCAUCCACCUGGGGAGUACGUCGGCAACGAUGAAACUCAAAGGAAUUGGCGGGG
rnacentral:rRNA from 1 species